AAAUCGAGUGGCGAACGGGUGAGUAACGCGUGGGUAACCUGCCUCACACAGGGGGAUAACAGUUGGAAACGACCGCUAAUACCGCAUAACCCGCUAGGGCCGCAUGGCCCGGACGGAAAAGAUUUAUCGGUGUGAGAUGGACCCGCGUUGGAUUAGCUAGUUGGCAGGGUAACGGCCUACCAAGGCGACGAUCCAUAGCCGGCCUGAGAGGGUGAACGGCCACAUUGGGACUGAGACACGGCCCAA
rnacentral:rRNA from 1 species